CCAGGCUCUGCAGUUGAUGCCGCUGCUCCGCACAGCUACCGGUUCCCAUUUGGACUUUCAGCCUGCAUCAGCUUCAUCCAACGGAGGAGCACUCAUAGGAAGCCCAACCUCUUCAGUCGACCCGAGGUGACUGCAGGGCCACUGGUUCAACACAGGACCGGUUUCGGCAGUUUUGAUCUUUCCUUCCUGAGCACAAGUGGCCUGAGCCUAAGCUCCUUACUCUGGAAGUGGAAUAGUCAGCCCCAGAUAACAACUUCCAUUUUCUGCCUUCAAAGGAAGCGAGCGGGUUAGUCCUGCCGUACAGUGGUCGCUAUGGAACGAAGAACGGGCACCAAGGCGGGAGAGACCUUUGGAAGUCAGCCCGUCCUUCGGCCCCAGCUCCGAGCUGAGAGCAGGUAAGGCGCAUGCUGGCCAUACCCGGAGCGAUCGGAACCGGAGCCGAGGCCAAGCUAUAAUCCAGUGGCCCGGAGGGUGGUGCGGAAGAAGCAGCAUCGUCGGGGGGCAGCU